rnacentral:rRNA from 1 species
GACAGAGGGUGCAAACGUUGUUCGGAAUUACUGGGCGUAAAGCGCGUGUAGGCGGCCAGGUAGGUCCGCUGUGAAAACUCGAGGCUCAACCUCGAGACGUCGGCGGAAACCAUCUGGCUAGAGUCCGGAAGAGGAGAAUGGAAUUCCCGGUGUAGCGGUGAAAUGCGCAGAUAUCGGGAAGAACACCCGUGGCGAAGGCGGUUCUCUGGGACGGUACUGACGCUGAGACGCGAAAGCGUGGGGAGCGAACAGG